GUGGCCACCAAGGGGCCGGGCCCUGCACAGCGCCCUGGGGAAGCUGGUUUGAAAGCUCUGGAGCGACCCCAAUGCCGGGUAAAGGACAAGAUUUGCCCAGACGGAAGGGAAUUUGGGGUGAAGUGGCCGUAAAAGUGUGGGACGAAACUGUUUCGGGCAGAGCGGUGGGAACUCACCUGAGGAAAGCAUGGGGGAGGAGUCACUAAUAAGAAUGAGUGGCAGGGACAGGGCGGCCUUGUAACGCCCUCGGUGUUGGAAGGGAAGACCGUACAGCGCGAUGGGGACCAGGGCGGCGGGCCGCAGCCAGGGUGUGGGUGGGCGACGGUCAAGGUGCCUUGAAGCGGAUUCUGUCCUCGGGAGCUGCGGUUCUUCCUCCUCCGCCCUCACCGGCGGGCGACCUUAGGCAGGGCGUGAAAUGCAACGGGAGCCCUGGAGGGAGGGUGAAGCCGCGCGUGCAGGAGGAACCUCCUUUUGGCGAGUUCAGGCCCCGCAGCUGCGGAGGUGGGGGACCCUGUGUGGCAGCCUGCUGAGAGGCUGCGUGCUCCGCGCGGUUGGAGGGGGGAACCUCCAGCCCACCUCCUCUUUUUCAGCCGAGAAACCGCUAGUUACCCCCUUUCUUAUGCGACCAAGAUUGUAAUAACCCUGUCACCUUUCACGGCCCUCCGGGUCUGCGCCCAUCCUCCUCUGAGGAUUCGCUCAUCCACCCCGAGGCCUGUUUUCCUCACUUGUUGUCCCUCUGGCAGACCCUAGGCCCCUUGGAGUCCAGCCACCAUCUAUCUGCCCGCUGUUUCCACCCACCACACUCCCUCCCCAGUUCUAUCCCAGCUCUUUAAACGGUUGGAGUUCAAACCUCAGACCAUGACAGCACACGGGCCUGGACUCCGGUAUGGCCCUGGACAAGUUCCUUAAUCUCUCUGAGCCUCAGCUUUGUUCCGUGUGAAGCAGCGGUAACAUUGUUAUUAGAAGCCUCCCGGCCCCAGCACACCGACGUACAUAUAAGUGGAUAUCCAUCCUGCCUGUGAGGGGUCGUCUUUUCUUUGGGUUGUUUGUUGUCCACAGAGGUCCAUACUUUAUGUUCCUGGAGGCACCAGCGGAGUCACUGAUGCACCCCUGCAUCCAGCAUGUUUAAGGAAGACAGUCUGGGGAGGGCAGGGAAGAGCCUAGAGGGUCCCCUAAUGAUUAGGGCUGUGAUGGGGAUGUUACUGGAAAAGGGUCCCUAUCCAGACCCCAAGAGAGGGUUCUUGGACCUCCUGCAAGAAGGAAUUUGGGGCAAGUCCAUAAAGUGAAAGCAAGCUUAUUAAGAAAGUAAAGGAAUAAAAGAAUGGUUACUCCAUAGGCAGAGCAGCGGCAUGAGCUGCUCGACUGACUAUACUUACAGUUAUUUCUUGAUCAUCUGCUAAACAAAGGGUGGAUUAUUCAUGAGUUUUCCGGGAAAGCCAAUUCCUGCAACUGAGGGUUCCUCCCCUUUUUAGACACUAUAGGGUAACUUCCUGAUGUUGCCAUGGCAUUUGUAGACUGUCACGGCAGUGGCAGGAGUGUCAUUUAGCAUGGAAAUGCAUUAUAAUUAGCAUAGAAUGAGCAGUGAGGAUGACCAGAGGUCACUUUCAUCACCAUCUUGGUUUUGGCCAGCUCCUUUACUGCAUCCUGUUUUAUCAGCAAGGUCUUUGUGACCUGUAUCUUGUGCGGACUUUCUAUCUCAUCCUGACUUAGAAUGCCUAAGCUAGUGGGAAUGCAGCCUCGCAGCUCUCAGCCUUAUUUUACCCAGCGCCUAUUCAAGAUGGAAUCGCUCUAGUUCGAUCGCCUCUGACAGGGGCAGUGCACUUUCACAUCUUGGCCUUUGCUGCCUUAUCCUUCCAGAUCUUUCAGAUGCUUGCCCUCUGGCAUUCUAGGAUAGGAAGGCUGCUUCCAAAGUGACGCAGGAUUUUUCUCAAUUUUCCAACUGCAGACUUCUGGCUGGUGAUGCCCCUGCCCAUGCCUAGCUCUGCCCCAGGCAGGAGGUGCCCUGCCCACUUGGGCUUGCACUCUGGUGGGGAUCCUGCAGCCACCGAGACUGCAUGCUCAGCCCCAGUAGGAGGGGGUGUGUGAUCAAGUGAGUGCCUCAUCUUGCCAGCCACUCCAAGUGCUGGCACAGGAGUGGGGUCCCUUUGGGGCCUGCAGCUGGAUCAGGCCUGUCAGAAGCGACUCCUGGGGUGAACUCUGGCAUCCAGAUGAAGGGAACGUGGUGGCACCCAAACAGGAAAGCGCUCGACUCUGAAGCCCCAGAGGGGGUGUUACAGCCAUGCUAACAGCUGUUUUAGUCCCACUGUCAGCAGCCUGACAAACAGGGGCAUGUUAACAACAAACGGGGGGUGUGUUAACAACUCUGUCAGUCCUGUUGCCUGCUCCUGCUGGAGGCUCCCUGGCUGGCCUGGCCCUGCACUGCUGCUCAUGGCAAGGGGUUGCCACUGGGCACAGACGGUGGGGGAGAUGUGGAGGGCUAUGGUGUUACUGCCUUUUUCAUACCCUUUGCUGACAAUGGAAGGGUGAAAAGGGCGGAGAAGAGUUUUAUGAAGCGAUGAAACAGCUCUCAGCUGAGAGGGGAUGCAAGGGUGGUCCCUGACCUGAAGUCGGGUGGUCUCUCUCUCAGUGUGGCUGGGUCUGGGGCUUUUAUGGGCUCAGAAGUGGGGACUGCAUGCUGAUUGGUUUACAAGUAUGCAAAAAAGGCUAAAACAAAGGCACCAUUCAAAGGUGGCAUGACAGUGUAGAAAACCAAUUAGGGAAGGGUAGAUACAUGUAAAGUAAGUGAAGGGUGGGGAUCAGUCAGAGGAAAGUGCACCAACAGGAAGAGAGGUUCUCAGUUCAGUCCAUGGAUUUAUCCAAGACUUGUAGCUUAGCUUUCCGACUUUAAACUGCCUUUGGUUUGAAAGUUGGGUUUCAUUGGGGACAUGCCACUAUCUGCCUAGGGGUUUGUCUGCCUCCUGCCACUAUUAAAAGUACUAAAUCAGUGCAUCUAGCCCGAGGGCUGCCCCUAGUCCAGCCAGCAGAGGUUUUUGUUUUGUUUUGUUUUUCUUUUAAUUAAAAUUUUAAUUAAAAGGGACUAAUAUAGAGGGUUUUUAAAAAAUUACCAUAUGUGUUGAGUAUUUAUGCUAUGCCAAGCACUUCCCAUAUAUUUUCUCAUUUAAUCCUCAAAAUAGCAAGGGUGAUUGCCUUAUCUCCAUCCUAUAGAUGAGAAAGCUGAGACUCAGAGAAAUUAAGAAACUCAUAUGAGGUCAUGUUGUAGGUAAGUUAGUUUUUGCUGCAUCAUAAACCACCCAACUAUUUAUGAUUUCAAACAGGUAAUACUUGUUUCUCAACAACUGGUUGGGGGCUGGAUGGCCAAGGGGCCUCAUAUUUUAGGGACAGGAGGAGCUCAUCGUCAGCUGGGUGAUGGGGAUGCGACUGCAAGUCUCAUCCAGGAGAGCUUGAACAUAGGGGUUGAGUUGCAAAAGCAGCAUAAGGGCAGCAACACAAGAACUUUCCAUGUCUCACUUAUGUCAUAUUUGCUAUUCUCCCAUUGGCCAAAGCAGGUCACAAAGGCAUGGCCAGCCGGUAUGGAAGGGGACAACCAAAGGGGUGGACACAGGGAGUGAGAAUUGCUGCUAUUUUCCCCAACAAAGAAUCUACCAUCCAUAGCUUCUAAGUGUACAACUGGAAAUCAAAACUAAGUUUGUCUUACUUGAAAGUUCAAAACUGUCUUACAGCUACUGCCUGGGGUCUAGGAAUCCAGAACAUUCCACACAUUGCCUAAGUCAACAACCUGUUGCACACACACACCUGCAACUGUUUUGCAAAAGUAUGUGGAUCUGGUUGUCAUUGAUAAAAUGCAAAUUAAUUUAGAUGUAUUAUUCAAUUCAUAGUAUAAUUUUGUUGUAUUUUCAAAUCAACAGAUAUUUACGUAAUUUCGAAGCAGCUCUUCACAAAAUAUUCAUCAGUUACAGAAGGAAGUCACUUCACAGUGGAAAAAUCUGGCAGGUGCCACCUUAAUCAAGUAACCAAAAUGAACAUCAUCAGUAAUAGGACAAAUUGCAAUCGUGUGCCUCCUGAUAGUCUAGCAAGAAGAACACAGCAUCACUUCUAUGAUGCUCCUGCCAAUAAUAUAUAAUUGGAAUCUAAUCCUAAAGCAACAAAUUCAAAUUAAGGAAAAUUCUACAAAAUAAUUGGCCUGUAAUAGAAGUGUUAAAGGUCAUGAAAGUUAAGGAAAGACUGAAGAACUGUUCCAGACUGAAGAUGAAAGAGAUGUGAGAAAUAAGUGCAGUGGUGAUUCUGAACUGGAUCCUGACUUGGCAAAACUUGAAUAGGUCUGUUGGUUGGAUGGUAGAAAUAUAGUAAUGUUGAUUUCCUGAUUUUUGCUAGCUAUAUUACAAUUUUAUUGGAUUCAGUCCUUGUUUACAGAAGACACACAGUAUGUAGGGGUUAUAAGAAGUCAGCUCAGGAACUUUCAAAUCAUUUAGCAAAACAAAAGUUCUUCGUACUUUAAUUCCAAGACUUCUAUAAAUUUGAGAUUAUUUUUAAAAUACUUAAAAAAAACUCCUUUAAAGUCUCUCAACAUGCUGUCCUAUUAAUAAUAGAUUUCUAAAUUUUUUAUUUUUAUCAACGUUUUGUGUGCCCAUAGUUUGAAGUAUUAAAUUGUUUUUAUUUAUUAAGG
rnacentral:lncRNA from 1 species